ACAAGCGGUGGAUGAUGUGGUUUAAUUCGAUGCAACGCGAAAACCUUACCCACCUUUGACAUGUACGGAAUCUUUAGAGAUAGAGGAGUGCUCGGAAAGAGAGCCGUAACACAGGUGCUGCAUGGCUGUCGUCAGCUCGUGUCGUGAGAUGUUGGGUUAAGUCCCGCAACGAGCGCAACCCUUGUCAUUAGUUGCUACGAAAGGGCACUCUAAUGAGACUGCCGGUGACAAACCGGAGGAAGGUGGGGAUGACGUCAAGUCAGCAUGGCCCUUAUAGGUGGGGCUACACACGUCAUACAAUGGCUGGUACAAAGGGUUGCCAACCCGCGAGGGGGAGCCAAUCCCAUAAAGCCAGUCGUAGUCCGGAUCGCAGUCUGCAACUCGACUGCGUGAAGUCGGAAUCGCUAGUAAUCGUGGAUCAGCAUGUCACGGUGAAUACGUUCCCGGGUCCU
rnacentral:rRNA from 1 species